rnacentral:rRNA from 1 species
GCAAGUCGAGCGCUCUCUUCGGAGGGAGCGGCGGACGGGUGAGUAACGCGUGGGAAUAUACCCUUCUCUAAGGAAUAGCCACUGGAAACGGUGAGUAAUACCUUAUACGCCCUUCGGGGGAAAGAUUUAUUGGAGAAGGAUUGGCCCGCGUUUGAUUAGAUAGUUGGUGGGGUAAUGGCCUACCAAGUCUACGAUCAAUAGCUGGUUUGAGAGGAUGAUC